AUUUUCUUAGUACCAACUUAGUACAAGUGACUUCCAAUCACAAGGCCUUGGUUAAACUCCAGGAGAAAAUA
rnacentral:tRNA from 1 species